rnacentral:lncRNA from 1 species
AAAAAAAAUCUUUGCCGAGUGCCAGAUCACGGGCACUCGGCAAAGCGCGUUUACAUAGCGCUGGUUUCUCUUCUUUCUCUCUCACUCUCUCACUCACUCAUCGCGCCGCCGCCGCCGCCGUAAAUCGCCGCCGCGACCCCGCCGCCGCGCCCUCGCCCGCCCACGACGCGCCCGCCCACACCGCGCCGCGCCGCCGCGCGCUCACACUCGCCCGCGUCCACGCCGCCGCGCCCACGCCCACGCCGCGCUCGCCGCGCCCACGCCCUCGCCGCGAGGCCCUUGCCGCCGCAGCCGCGACCGCGUCGUGCCCUCGUCGUGCCCCCGCCAUGUCCCCGCCGUGCUUUCCCUCGUCGUGCCCUCACCGUGCCCCCGUCGCGUCCCCGCCGUGCGUGCCCUCGUCGUGCCCUCGCCGUGCCCUUGCCGUGCCCCCGCCGCCUCGCCCCGCGACCCGCCGACUCGUCCGCGACCCGUCGAUUCGUCUGCGACCCGUCGUCCCGCCCGUUGGGUAUGAUUAAGUUUAAUAUUGUGUUGAUUAGAUUAAUAUUUAGUUUUCUUGUGUUAAAUUUAUUUACGUGUAUGGUUAGGUUAAUAUUGAGUAUUGAUGAUUGCCGGCCAUCGUGCCGUUGAAUUAUGUGUGGAUGUCAGCCAUCGUGCUGAAAAUUUAAUUUGCAGGAUUUCGAAACCUCCCCGUGCAGGGGAGGUGCUGCCGAAAUUUCCUGUUAUAGGAUGGAGGACCGUGAGUGGAUGUACACGGGCCGUAGAGGAAGAAACGAUGUCACCACUGAAUGGAUUAGAAAGACCGAUGAUUUCGUGGAACGGGCAUACGGCGAAGCUGCUAAAGGAGCGAGUCUAGUCCCAUGCCCAUGCAGCAAUUGUGACAACCGGAAAAGAAAACCAAAGAAGACCAUGGUAGAACAUAUUUGGAAGAAUGGAUUUACGCCGGGCUAUACUCGGUGGAUAUUUCAUGGUGAAGCGCAUCGUACGAGAGAGGAGGUGCUGAGACAACGUGUCGAGGAUUAUGACGCGGAUGCGGGGGUAGCGGAUAUGUUGAACGACUAUCAGGAGGCACAGUACACGGGAGGAUGUAUGGAUGACGAGCCAGAGCCGACUGCAAAGGCGUUCUACGACAUGUUCGACGCGGCACAGAAGCCCCUUCACGGCCAGACAAAGGUUUCUCAACUGGAUGCCAUUGGGCGUGUAAUGGCGUUCAAGUCGCAGUACAGCAUGAGUAGAGACGCAUUCGAUGGCUUGUUGACGGUUAUUGGGAGUCUGCUUCCGGAUGAUCACGUUCUGCCAAAGAGCAUGUACGAGGCACAGAAACUACUUCGUGCACUCAAGAUGACGUAUGAGCAGAUUCAUGCUUGUCCGAAGGGCUGCGUGCUAUUUAGGAAAGAAUACGCGGAGGCAAAGUACUGUCCGAAGUGUAAUUCGUCUAGGUUUAUGGAGGUAAACUCUGGUGAUGGACAGAAGAGGCAGCUCGACAUCCCCUUGACAAUCCUACGACACCUUCCGUUCGUACCGAGGAUCCAGCGUCUGUACAUGACAGAGGAAUCCGCGAAACAGAUGACUUGGCACAAAAAUGGAAAACGAUACAAUCCUGACAAGAUGGUGCACGCAUCAGAUGGUGAAGCAUGGAAACACUUUGAUGACAUUCACCGUGACAAAGCCGAAGAGGCUCGUAAUGUACGUGUUGCGUUGGCCACAGAUGGGUUCAAUCCCUAUGGAAUGAGCGCUGCCCCGUACACAUGUUGGCCCGUGUUUGUUAUCCCAAUCAAUCUCCCCCCUGGUGUGUGCUUUCAAAGGCAGAAUAUAUUCGUGUCGUUGAUAAUUCCCGGACACCCGGGGAACAAAAUGGGCGUUUACAUGGAGCCUUUGAUCGAUGAAUUGGUACGUGCCUGGGAGGAAGGGGUAUGGACGUUUGACCGAGCUACGAAGACAAACUUCAGAAUGCAUGUUUGGUACCAGUACUCCAUGCAUGACUUACCGGCCUAUGGGCUAUUCUGUGCCUGGUGUGUUCACGGUAAGUUCCCAUGCCCAGUUUGCAAGGAAGCUCUCAGGUUCAUUUGGUUGAAAAAGGGUGGCAAAUAUUCGUCCUUCGAUAAACAUCGACAAUUUCUUCCUGCUGACCAUCCAUUCCGCCUAGACAUCAAGAACUUUACGAAAGGUGUCGUAGUGACAGACCGUCCACCUGCAACGAUGACUGGUGCCGAAAUUCGUCAACAGAUAGAUGGGCUCGUGGCCAAUACAGAAGGUGGUUUUGUGGGAUAUGGUGAGCAGCAUAUGUGGACACAUAAGUCUGGCUUGACUCGGCUCCCCUAUUAUGACGACCUGCUCCUUCCACACAACAUUGACGUGAUGCACACUGAAAAAAAUGUUGCCGAGGCACUGUGGGCAACAAUUAUGGACAUUCCUGAUAAGUCAAAGGAUAAUGUGAAGGCAAGAGUGGAUCUGGCAGCGUUAUGUGAUAGACCAAAACUAGAGAUGAAGCCGCCAAGUGGCGGAAAGACAUGGAGAAGGCCUAAGGCCGAUUUCGUCCUAAGCAGGGCCCAGAGGAAGGAAGUACUUCAGUGGAUCAAGAUGUUGAUGUUCCCUGAUGGGUAUGCAGCUAACCUGAGUAGGGGGGUGAACUUAUCUACUAUGCGAGUCUUAGGGAUGAAGAGUCAUGACUUCCACAUAUGGAUUGAACGGAUUCUUCCUGCGAUGGUUCGAGGCUAUGUCCCUGAGCAUGUCUGGCUAACGCUUUCAGAGUUGAGCUAUUUCUUCCGUCAACUUUGUGCAAAAGAGUUAUCUCGGACCGUGGUUGCAGACUUGGAAAGAUUGGCCCCCGUGUUACUGUGUAAGCUUGAGAAGAUAUUUCCACCCGGCUUCUUCAAUCCAAUGCAGCAUUUGAUUCUUCAUCUCCCCUAUGAGGCACGAAUGGGGGGCCCCGUGCAGGGACGUUGGUGCUAUCCAAUCGAGAGAUGUCUAAAGACUAUUCGAAAGAAAUGUAGAAAUAAAUGCAAAAUCGAGGCUUCCAUUGCAGAGGCAUACAUUCUAGAGGAGGUCUCAAACUUCACAACAACUUAUUAUGGUGACAAACUGCCGAGCGUGCAUAAUCCACCCCCUCGUUACAAUGAUGGCGACAAUGAAUCGAACCUUAGCAUAUUUCGAGGCCAACUCGGAAGCGCAAGUGGCUCGACCACGAAGACCCUGACACAUGAAGAGUGGCGACAUAUCAUGCUAUACGUAUUGACCAACCUUGAAGAGGUGACGCCAUACAUGGAACAAUUUCUUCAUGAAUUCUGGCGUCGAUCAAGGGACCCCACUCCACAGGAAUAUGACGCUCUUCUUAGAAAGGGUGCGAGAAAUGGGUUGCCCGAUUUCAUUUCCUGGUUCAAACGUAAGGUACGUGCUUAGUUUGUAAAAGAGAUACGUCUUUGAACUCAAUUUAGCGUCUUUUAACUUGCGAAUACUUGCAGGGCCAAAGAGAUCCGUCUAUGAGUGCCGAGUUGAGACAAGUAGCCAACGGCUUUGCUUAUAGGGUCAAGAAAUAUUCUGGGUAUGACGUCAAUGGAUACCGUUUUCGCACAACACACUACGACCAAAGUCGGCCCAAUCGGAAAACAACGUGUUCUGGAGUCUUUACGCCGGGCCUUGACAAUGUCGAUUAUUUUGGACGAAUUGAAGAAAUAUAUGAGCUCAAUUUUUAUGGUUCCAAACCUCUUACUCCAGUGAUAUUCAAAUGUCAUUGGUUUGACCCUCAAGUGACGAGACGGACACAUUCUAAUCUUGGGAUAGUCGAAAUUCGACAAGAUUCCACCUUAGCAGGAGACGAUGUCUAUAUCGUGGCCCAACAGGCCACACAAGUGUAUUAUCUCCCAUAUGCGUGUCAAACGAAAGAACAUCUUAAGGGUUGGGAUGUUGUGUAUAAGGUAUCGCCGCAUGGGAGGUUACCUGUUCCUAACGAUGAAGAUUACAACUUAGACCCGGACACAUAUGAUGGAGAGUUCUUCCAAGAAGAUGGGCUAGAAGGGCGAUUUGAGAUAGACUUAACUGAAGCUAUCGGAAUGGACGUAGAUAUUGAAAUGGUUGUUGAUGAAGAGGAUGAUGAGGUGCAAAAUGAUAAUGACUUAGUAAUCCUUGAAGGCAAUGAUGAGGUUGCGUCUUCCGAUGGUGUUGAGAUUGAAAUGCUUGAUAGUGAUGAUGAGAGUUAUGAUCCGGCUAACCCCGACACAUAUGAAGAUUAUUUUUAAUCGAUGUAAUGCUAUAUGACUUUUUAUUUCGCACCUGUUUUUAAAUACAUCUUUUUAUAUGUGCUUAUUUGUUUACUCUUAAUUGCAGGUUGUUGAACAAAUAUGGUGGGCGGUUUCCUGAGGAGGAGGAGGGGGAGGAGGAGUAGGACGGCGGACGAUGCAGAGCAGGCAGCGCAGCAGCACGAGGCAGAGCAGGCAGCGCAGCAGCAGGCGGCGCCUCAGGACGACGACGACCAGCAGCAGGACGACGACGACCAGCAGCAGGACGCCUCAGGUUCAGGCGGCUCUAGUUCGAGGAGCAUUUACCUGCGAGGCCCCGCGAGUCUCCCGCCGCGUCCCAUACUUCGGGACAAACGGCCGUUGAUUCGGCCGGAAGGGGAGAGGUAUGUAACUUUAUGUUCUUCAUUCUUGUUCAUAUUAUGUGUUCAAAAUCAUAAUAUAAACUAAUACUUUUUAUUUAUCACUUGGACAGGUCUUGGACGGUUUUGGAUUAUGCUGGGGGUCAUCGUCGCCCCCCCAACAACAUCCUCGGCCUGCUGUGCAGGGAACACUUCCCUGGACUUGUGGAGUACGCCGGAGUGACGGGUCCAGCCUUCACCUUCGACCACUACGCCGUCGCCCCCGAUGCAGUAGACCGGGACGGCAGGGAAUUCAAUAACAAGGCGGAGCGGGUGAAGCAAGAGCUGUGGGUAAGUCUUAGUAUAAUAUAAAAUAUGUCGCAUUCGUUGCAAAUUCUUGAAAUAAUGUAUGGAUACAUCGUUUUUGUAUGCAGGAUUUCUUCAGAUGCGAUGCUGGAUACGAGGCUAGGGCGGAUGUGGUGGCCACCACGUGCUGUAAGAAGCUCGUCGUGGACAUGCACUAUGAGGCCCGCAUCCAGGCCAUCAUCACCUACCACGGCUCCGUCCUUGGGGAGAAGGUGACCAAACCUCAAGCCCGAACCAUGUCGUUGACCAGGGAGCAGUACCUGGAGGUAAAGUCAUGCAUGUUUGGUACCAGUACUCCAUGCAUGAAUUUUAUUUUAUCUUCUGAUAUGCACUUUAUGUGUUUACUUUGGAGGUGAUUCCACAUUGGUGCGCCGCACAUCCUCUGUGCUGGGAGCAGAUGGUGGAUAGGUGGUGUUCGGCUGAGUGGGACGAGGUGCACACAGCUAGCCGGGAACGGCGUUUGCAGAUGCAAGGCCCCUCGCACCACCAAGGCAGCCGGAGCCUAGGCCAAUAUGCCGAAGCAUGGGUACGCCACCUUUUUUAUUUAGAUAUAUAGCACUAAGUUAGAUAUUAUUUCUAACUAUCUCGUUGGUUUUCGUUGCAGCCGGCGUCACAUGGUGGCAGGCCUUGUUCCACCUUCUCGGCCUAUGCUAUGGCCCAUAAGGGUAAGGCGACGUCCGACGUCACCUACAACCCGGAUGACGGGCCCGAGGCCUACACCAACCGCGCCGUCUACAGCCGCCUCCAUGACUACACCGCCAUGGCGCAGGAGGUCCAUGGCCCAGACUAUGAUCCGAGCACCGAGCCUAUCGACCCCGAGGUGCUCAUGAGGGUCGGAGGAGGCAAGAGACAUGGGCGGUACUGGAUUGCCGACGGGGCAAUCGACUCGUCCUCCACUCCCACUCUGUCUCAGGUGAGAGCAAGGAGCACGGGCUCGAGCCCAGCCAUUCGACCUCGGCACGACAGCUCACAGCAUCGCAUACAGCAACUCGAGGUUAGUGCUUCUGUAACUCGUCCUUCCUUUAGUUAUAUACCUAGUCUUUGAGUUACUAUAACGUUGGCUUGUAAUAUUACAGACCCAACUAGAAGAGAUGGAGGCGAGGAUAAUGGCGGAGCGGGCGGCGGCUGAUCAGAGGAUGGCGGAGAUGUUCCAGUACAUGCAGAGCCUUGGCGCCGCACAGGGCAUCGCUCCGCCACCUCCAUUGUUCCCCCCAGUUGACCCUACUGUCUUCCACACUCCUGUGAGUAUCAAUAUUGUAGUUAGAUGUUUGUAAUGCAUCUGGUAUAACACAUGCUAUCUCUUCUCUGUGCAGGGCCAAUCUGGGGCGGCAUCCAACAACCCUCCGGAAGGGUUCAGCCCAACGCAACCCCGGCCAAACCGCCCACCUCCAUGAGUCAUUGUUUUAGACUUCAGAACUUAUGUAUAAUACUUAUGUUUCUGUUUGAUACUUAUGUGAGAGCUUGCGACGUUUGAGACUUAUGUUUGUGUUUAAUACUUGUGUUGAACACUUAUGUUUGUGAUGAAUAUUUAUGUUUGUGGUCACGGUUUUAUGUUUGUGUUGGCUAUUUAUGUCUGUGAUGAUAUCUGUGAUGUAUAUAUGUGAUAUAUAUGUGAUAUCUUCUGUUUGUGUAGAUGGAAAACAAAAAACAAAUUAAAAAGGUACAUACUGGUCACUUUGCCGAGUGUAACACUCGGCAAAGAGGCUCUUUGCCGAGUGUCUGGGUCAUAACACUCGGCAAAGAGCACAGACCUGGGCACCGGCUUAGGUUCUUUGCCGAGUGUUAUGUCGCUAGCACUCGGCAAAGAGGUCGGCUUUGCCGAGUGCCAAUUGGUACACUCGGCAAAGAGCCUGACAUGGGGACCCUCCCUGGCGGGCUCUUUGCCGAGUGUCCCAAGUGGCACUCGGCAAAGAAGGCGGCUUUGCCGAGUGCUGCCAGGAGGACACUCGACAAAGAUAUCUUCGUUGCCGAGUGUCACCGUUGACACUCGGCAAAGCCGCCGUCUCCGUCAACCGGCGCCGUAACGGGCCCUUUUCUUUGCCGAGUGCUCGCUGACACUCGGCAAAGAUCUUUGCCGAGUGCCCGAGAAAAAGUACUCGGCAAAGAAGACUUUGCCGAUGCACUUUUUGCCGAGCCUUCUUUGCCGAGUGUUACACUCGGCAAAGCCUUUGCCGAGUGUUUUUAAGGCUUCGCCGAGUGCUUCCGGCACUCGGCGAAGAUGUUGAUUCCGGUAGUGGUUGCAGCAGUGGUGUUGAAAAGAUGUUUUCUACAAUGAAACUAUAUACGGCUCACAUCAAGCGUACUAGAUUCGUCACAUCAAGCGUUUGACUUUCAAAUAGGAGUAUGAAAUAUAGACUCAACCAACUGUACUAGAUUCGUCUCACUUUUUAAUCUUCGGCUGAGAAAUUAGUUUUAUAAUCCGACUACAUUUAAUACCCCGAACGGAGGUUCAAACAUUCGAUGUGAUAGAGGCUAAAUUUUAGCAGGGGCAAACCAAACACCCCCUAAAAAAGCUAAGAAAUAAGAGAUGGGACAAGAUUACUUGAAUGAUAGCUUGGUUACAUUCAUUGAAAGGGGAUUCUUCGUGCAAGCAAAUGAUAGGAAUACCAUGAACCAUUUUCAAAGCACAAAGCUAGGAUUCAAAAGUUGUCUUAUAAUUUGUUGUAAGCUAUAUUCUCGUUAUGUUAGUUGCACGCAGCUAUAACUAUUUGGCAUCAUAUAUAUAUGUCGAAUAUUAGUUAUUUGGUUGUGAAAAAAAGGUUGGUAUAUAUCCCUGUAGAUUUUGAAUAUACCCAGGGCCAGGCCACAGCACUAAAAUCUCCAAGCUAUACGGUGCCCGGCUUGCUAACGUUCCGGUUAUUUAUUAAAUCAUGCAUCAUCAGAGCCAUGAUCAGUGACUGAUUGGGUAGAGUCAGUAGGUAGCUAGCAUAUGCAUGCAUAUGAGCGAUCUCAUCAACUCGACCUGGCUGCAUUUGGAGUUGGCGUUGGGACCAAUGCAGCAUUUGCCUUUGUUCCCCCUUUAAACCAACAACACAACACAUCACAUGCCCAUGCAUCUGGUAGCUAUAGCUAAAAAAAACCUGGAUUACAUUUUCCUACUACGCACCCAACACAUCAAUGGACCAUGCAGCAUAUGCAGUCCAGAUGAAUGAUUGAACACGAUUUAAUUAUUUUUUUUAAAAAAAAUCCCCGUUUGAUUAUAUUUUUGGUGUGUGACAAUAAUAUUGCAACAAGAAGUAUUGGAUGUUACGAGAGUUGCACUAAUCCCUUUCUUCAUUAAUUAUAUUACGUGCACAAUUUAAGAGGUGUAGACUUGUUUGCGUUUUGUUCCCUUUCUUCAGACUCAACAGAUAAUGAUCUGAUGAUGGCAGCUAUGUAUCCUAGCUAAUUCAUCAUUUAUAUAUGUUUGGAUCCGGCUAAUAUAUAGGUGCAUAUAUAUAUAUAUAAUAUCCCUAAGCAAUGAACUUUAGCCAAUUGUGUUUGGUUAAUUGACUAACAACUAGACAAGAGUUCAGUUCAGUAGAUAGAUGAACCAAUAUAAAACACAGCCAUGCAUGACGACUAAUUAGUUACUGAUAGCCGGUUGCUGUUGGCUCAUGGCUGUCACGGACACUGCUGCUAAUGAAGAAAUCUGUACGACAUAGAAGCUAUAUAAGCAGUGACCGUCUUCCCCACAAGCACAACAAGCAGAAGCAGAAGCAGAAGCUAGCAGCUAGUAGACGAGCGACGAGUAGCUAGCUAGCUAGCUAUCUAGAGAGCUCAUCAUAUCGCUGCUCGCUCUCAUCCACCAUUAUAGAGAAGAGCAGAUCGAGCUGCAGCUGGCAGAGGCCGAGUUGUUGCUAGCUAGCUCCUGCUUGCUAAAUUUGCAUCGUAUCCGAUCCAUUCCAUGAAGAAGUCGUCGAUGAUGGCGCCCAUGACGAUCAUGGCGAGAGUUGCCGCUGUGCUCGUCCUCUCGUCGGCUGCCAUGGCUUCCGCCGCAGGAGCAGCUGGGCUGGACAUGAAUUUCUACGGCAGCACGUGCCCGCGCGUGGAGGCCAUCGUCAAGGAGGAGAUGGUGGCGAUCCUCAAGGCGGCGCCGACGCUGGCCGGCCCGCUGCUCCGCCUCCAUUUCCACGACUGCUUCGUCAGGGUAUAUAUAUAACUAUAUACAUAUAUUGUUGCUGCAUUGAUUAGUUGCAUUGCAUUGCACGUUAGCUAACUCAUCCCCUGCAUUAUUAUUAAUUAUUAAUUGCUGCCAGGGCUGCGACGCCUCCGUGCUCCUGGACUCGACUCCCACCAGCACGGCGGAGAAGGACGCCACCCCGAACCUCACCCUCCGGGGCUUCGGCUCCGUGCAGCGCGUCAAGGACCGGCUGGAGGAGGCGUGCCCGGGCACCGUCUCCUGCGCCGACGUCCUGGCGCUCAUGGCGCGCGACGCCGUCGUGCUGGCCAACGGCCCCUCCUGGCCCGUCGCGCUGGGCCGCCGCGACGGCCGCGUCUCCCUCGCCAACGAGACCAACCAGCUGCCCCCGCCCACCGCCAACUUCACCCGCCUCGUCAGCAUGUUCGCCGCCAAGGGCCUCUCCGUCAGGGACCUCGUCGUGCUCUCCGGCGGCCACACCCUCGGCACCGCGCACUGCAACCUCUUCAGCGACCGCCUCUACAACUUCACCGGCGCCAACAGCCUCGCCGACGUCGACCCGGCGCUCGACGCCGCCUACCUCGCCCGCCUCAGGUCCAGGUGCCGGAGCCUCGCCGACAACACCACGCUCAACGAGAUGGACCCCGGCAGCUUCCUCAGCUUCGACUCCAGCUACUACAGCCUGGUGGCCAGGCGCCGGGGGCUCUUCCACUCCGACGCCGCGCUGCUCACCGACCCGGCCACCAGGGCGUACGUCCAGCGCCAGGCCACGGGGCUCUUCACCGCCGAGUUCUUCCGCGACUUCGCCGACUCCAUGGUCAAGAUGUCCACCAUCGACGUGCUCACCGGCCAGCAGCAGGGCGAGAUCAGAAAGAAAUGCAACCUCGUCAACUGACAAAUAAUACGUACAUUAAUUGCUGCUGGUUUUGACGAUGCCUUUCACUUACGUUCAUCCACUUAAUUCAUGCAUCCAUGUUGGUUGGGUUCAUUCAAUUAUUAUAUUCGUUGCUUACCUUUACUUUUGCUUGGUUAAUCUUAAUUAAAUCGUGUGAGUUUUCUUUUCUUUUCUUGAGUAUAUAUAUGUAUGUACGUAGAGCGUGAUGAGUGCCUUUUCAAGUUUAUUGUUUUUUUACUUUUUCCUCUCGUGCAUAUGGUUCAAAUCCAUGAUGAUGAUGUAAUGCGCAUGUAAUUAAUAAUGACAAUCAAGUCAAUAAACACACAUGCAAUUUAUAUAUGAUAUGUUCAACAUAUAUAAUUAGCUACUGUUUUUUUACAUGUAUAUGGUUUCUUCAUCUUGGUGUGACGUACGUUACAUUGUUGCUCAUUCUUUACGCUUGGUGGAUGUAGACUGCCGCAAUGCACUAUAUAUAUAUAAAUGCAUGUACUUGCAAGGCACUACAUAUUUUAGUUACGAUGUUUCCUCUGAAGCACACCAACCAACAAAAUAUCUAAUUAAAGGACGGCCAUUAAGAGAUUUGGCGUGAUUUUUAUUAUACGAGACAAAUGAAAAGAUAUUAGCGUAAUGAUUUUGGAUUAGCAAGUUGUUCAGGCACUGUAUAUAUUAGUCUGAGUUGAUCAGUUUUCCGUUCUGAAAUCAAAAAUUAAACCAACAACAAUAGUCCAUUAUUAAUUGUCAAGUUCUCAAAACAAGACAAGCUAUACCUCCGUGACAAUGGCAUCCAUAUUUUGUAAAAGGUAAUAAAAAUGCAUAAACGACAUUUGAACCUGACGGUUGUUUUCCUCUUGCAGUUUCUGUAUACUGCAGUUAUUACGAUUUUCAGCCCAUCAUAAAUUAAGGACCGAUCUGGGCCGUAUUUGCUUAGCUAGUCAUCAUCAUUGUACAUCCAGGAUCUGUCACACCCGGAUUUUAGGGGUCAAAAACCCGGGCGCGAACAUAAACACCAGGUGUGCUGGGACCAAGUCUCACACAUAUGAUGCAUAGUGGCACAGGAUCGAAUGUCACAUCUUUACUAUAUAAGAGGAGUUCUGUACAGAAAUAAUUAAAUAAUUACAUCAUAUGAGGAAACGAUCCAGCAACCCAAAGUUGACUGGGAGACGACGGCCUAGACCUCUCACGAACUCAUCGCAACAUCCUCCAUGAGCAUCAUCCUGCAGUACCUGGUCUUGACCUGAGGUGUAUGUGAGACAGCAAGAGUGAGCUCACAUACGUUCAUCGCUCAACAAGUUGUGGGGAAUAAUGUGCAUGAACUCGCCAAAGGUGGGAGCUCACGUGAAGUGUAAGGCUUACCAAAGAAAAUGGUUAGAGCUGAGCAUUGCUUUUAAAGUUGGUCAAAAUUUUAUUAGCAGUUACUAAGUAUAAGUGAAUACCAAUCCCAAUUAAGUAGUAGAACAAAAAUAACAACUUCACCCGCGAUGCAAUGCAUAUGACAAAUUGAAUUUAGUUCCAUAAUUUAAUCAUCAGAGAGUCCUGAGCUGCUCAUGACCGUGAGCUCGGCUAGUAUACCAGUUUUACACUCUGCAGAGGUGGUACCCUUUACCCACAAGUCAUGUUACCCAUCUGCCAAGAGAUCGCGACUUCCCAUACACCUCUACCGAGGAGGCGAGGCAGGGUAACACUACGAGGCCUUUACAAAGUUCCACUAGCUUCAGAAAACCCGCUACAGUUUAUAGGAAGCUCCAAUGCAGGAAUCCCUUGCAGGACCGCCAUCACAGCAAAAUCCUCCCGAGGGCCUCCCCAGGAAUCCCUUGCAGGACCGCCAUCACAGCAAAAUCCUCCCGAGGGCCUUCCCAGGAAUCCCUUGCAGGACCGCCAUCACAGCAAAAUCCUCCCGAGGGCCUCCCUACACUGACCACUCCCCUACUGCCCUUGCCCCUUUCGGGUAAGGUAGUCCUCCACUAGCUUUCCUAAUUAGUCAGCCAAGGGCGUCCCAUUAAACCCUUGUGGUGGCACGUGGUUCUCAAGUUAAGCUCUAUGUUCCAAUUAACAUUUAAUGAUCUUGUCAUGAACAUAAAUAGAAUAACAACAUAAUUGGAACAUAGAUGCAAUGAAAUAUUAACCCAAAACCAUAUAAAGCAGUAGCAGAACUACCCAAGUGAUUGAGGGGUAAACAAGGUAUUCAGGAUGAACAAACUAGGGUGACCUAUUGGGUCCCAUCAAAAUUAACCUAUGCAGAUCAUUAUGAUUAAUCAGAACAUGAGUGGGUAAAAGAAGUGAUCAAGGGCACAACUUGCCUGAGACUUGAGAUUCCAGGUACCAGGAUGAUCUUCAGGUGACUCGUGACCUCGCGCUAGUCGUAGCAAUACAGACAAACAUGGUAUAUGCAAAAUUAACAUAACACCAAACAUAAGAACAAACUGAAUAAUAAUGACCUACGCGUUGCUACGAGACUAACGCAGCUGGAACGAGUCAAAUCGGAUUUAAAACGGGGGAAUUAUGUAUUUUGCACAAUAUUAAGUAGGAUAUAAAUUUUAAUGUGACUUUCAUGUGAAAACAGUGACACUAGGUGAUAAACAACAUUAUUACAAAAUUAUAGGAAUUAGAAUGGAUCAAUUUGGGCUCAAUAUGAAUUUUCUAUGAAUUUUAUAAGUUCUAGCCAUUAUUUUCCUAUUAAAAAUCCCUUUUCCAAUUUAUUUACUCAAUUUCACACAGCUCUGGAUCGGGCCUCAUUAUCUGGAAAACACAGGGGUCUCGGGGUAAGUUUUCCUGAGACACAGAAAACAAUUCUACGGACCGCGGGUUGAUUACUAUAGAACAGAGGGGCCUAAUAGCUAAACCGUCCAGCCGAAGGGGUACGGGCGGACGCUGACCGUCCGAUCACAAACCGACGCGCAAGAUUAGAUUAUCGCGUUAUAAAACAGAUAAUCCGCCCCGAUCGUCCGAUCCAGAAUCAACGGACGAAGGUCGAUCCUACCCCGAUCUAAUCUAACCCGCCCACCAUGAAUCCUACGGACACGGUUUACUUGAGCAAAGGUUACCCUAUCCUCUAAUCUCGAUCGUCAGCGCCGGAUCCAACGGACCACGGAGUUCUUCUUCCCCACGGCGGAUGAAUACGGCCGCGCCCACCUCGCACGGCGGCGGUCCCGCCGGGGACUCCCAUAUCGCGCACCCGAACCCAAAAACGGCCACGGUCGGCCCAAAGCGUAGCAGGGAAAGAGGCGAAUUCGUUGGAGGUUCUUACCAAGCGUUCGGUGUGGCCGAGAACUCUGGCCACGACAAGGUGCUACCCGGCGGCGCCGAGACCCCGGUGGGAAAUUCCUGGCACCCAGGUCGCAAGCCCAGUCGGUAGAAGCCCCAACCCGUUUGGCGUGUCCAAUCGAAGCGACAGGCAAGGACGAUUCUGAGGUACCGGGCACGGCGCGACGACAACCCCUCCAAGCGGCGCUCCAAAGCUCCCGAUUCCACCCUGCUUGCUUGUCGCCAGCGAGGUCACGAACGAAGCGCCGAUGAUGCGGAUCCAGGGUAACGGGCUUAGUUUUAUAGUGCUACGGCGGAGUCCGACCGGUGAGGUCCUGCGGAUUAAGCGCGGUUCGGUGCAACGACCCGCGAGCUCCGCUUCAGGGAGGAAGAACGGCGAGCUGCGCGGCAACCACGCGGGUUGUUACGCGUUGGAGCCGGGAAGAAGCACAGUAGACCAGAGGUCUCCACGUGCGGGCCCGAUCGGUCACAGUCACAAGCACGCGCACAGGCAAGUGGCUGGCGGCGCUAGGGUAAGGCACGACAAUGGGCCAGCGCAGGGAGAAAAAUGGAGAUGGGCCAGCGCGAGGAGAAUUCGGCCCAAACGGCGAUUUUCUUUUUUUUUUCCUUUUAUUUUCUGUUUCCAUUUCCUUUUCCUUUAUUUUUUUUUCAUAUUUGAAUUCUUAAAUUUGAAUCCAAAUUUGAUUGCAAACUUUGAAUUUGAACUAGAUGUACUAGUCCAAGAUGUUGAUAUGAAAUGUCACGUUUAUUUAUAUAUUUUCCUUACAUUGUAUAUAGGGCUUUUCCUAUUUUCCUCUUCACCUUCUAUAUCUUAUUUCUCAAAUUAUUGGUUCCCAAAAUUAGGUUUAAUGUCUCUUCCACCAUUUGCAUAUUUCUUUUAUCAUUAUCUUCAUGAGUGAAUGCACAAACAAAUAAAUCACAGCAUGAUGCACAAAUUACUUUAAGUGUCACUAAUUAAUUAAUGACUUUUGAGGUGUUGGUUCACAUGUUACAAUAAACAUAGGCAAAAUCAUGUAUGUAACUCAACUAUGCUUUCAUCUUACAUUUUGGGUAUUACAAAUCCUACCCCCCUUAACAGAAAUCUCGUCCCCGAGAUUUGUAAGAAAAGGGAAUACAAUAGGUUUGGUUUAGAAUUUUAGUUUCUCAUUGGGUUUUGGAAAUCAAAGUUUUGUUCAAGUUUUUUUUUUCAUAACAGUUAGUAGACGAUUUAGAAUAUAUGGAUAUUGUAUGUCUACCCAUCUAUUAGGUCAGAUGAGGUACGAUUAUGGCAAGUAGGUGUUGUGGCAAGGGUAUAAUAAGGAAAGACUUCAUCCUAAACUACGGAUCUUGAUUCCGCUGGCGAUUCAACUUGAUCUUUGAAGUCUUGAGUUGAUGCUUAUCCUUUUUUGACAUGGUUGGUCUUCUUUGGCCUUUAUUUCUUGGAGUUGUCAUCCGAGUUAAGGACAUAUGGCUAGGACAUAUGUGAGUAGGAUGGAUUGUAUGGUGUAGGUAGGUUAGAAUCUCUUGCUAGGUUAAAAUUGUGGGGUUAUGCAACUAUUGGAUGGUUAAGGUAGUUGCAUAUGGCCAAGUCGAUCUGUCACUCUUAAUUUAGUGCAGGGUGAACUAAGUUAAGACUCGUUCUAUAGGAGUAGAGUCUAAUCUAUUUCAUUAGUAUUAUCUAACAUGUUUGAUAAGUCACUUUAGAUUAGAUCAGAUCUAGGUUAGAUUGGUGUGACUAGUUUGACUAGAUAAGAUCUUAUUUAUUUUAGGCUAGAUCAUGGUUGUUACACUAGCGUGGGAUAAAUAUGCUUAUUGGGGUAAGAUGAAUCCAUAAGGAUAAGGUAGAAUCUUUUGAGGUCAGAUAGAUCUAUUAGGAUAGGAUAAAUCUUUUCAAGAUAAGACGAGAAUCUAUUUUUUUUAGGAUAAGAUGGAUCUAUGAGUGUAGGAUAGACUUUUUCAAGAUAAGAUGGAUUUUGCUAGGCUAGAUUCUUUGAUGAGGGAUAACCUAGUUCAUUUAGAUAUUUUUAUAACCGUUUUUUUUCUAUAUGUAUAUGCAGAUGUGAUUGUGGACAUUACUCCACAACUAAUCACACUCAAUCAAAGAUUCAAACAAGUAUCAUAAGAACAAACAUUCAAGCAUACAAAUACCUUAAAAAUAGUUUUGUUUUUGUUCCUAAGAGUAGGUCUCCUAUUCCUAAAGUCACUUUAGGCACAGGAUUUCAAAGUGUGAAAUCCACAUUUGUCUUUUAGAAAGAAAAGAUAAGAAUAAUCAGAGUAAAGCGGAAAUAGAUGUGAAAAGAUUAAGAAAAGUUUAGAAAGAAUCAGAGUAGCAAAGGUAAGUAGAUAAUGGUUGUCCAGUUCUAUCUAGGUUUCGUCCUACAGUCAACAUUGCUCUGAUACCACUUCUGUCACACCCGGAUUUUAGGGGUCAAAAACCCGGGCGCGAACAUAAACACCAGGUGUGCUGGGACCAAGUCUCACACAUAUGAUGCAUAGUGGCACAGGAUCGAAUGUCACAUCUUUACUAUAUAAGAGGAGUUCUGUACAGAAAUAAUUAAAUAAUUACAUCAUAUAAGGAAACGAUCCAGCAACCCAAAGUUGACUGGGAGACGACGGCCUAGACCUCUCACGAACUCAUCGCAACAUCCUCCAUGAGCAUCAUCCUGCAGUACCUGGUCUUGACCUGAGGUGUAUGUGAGACAGCAAGAGUGAGCUCACAUACGUUCAUCGCUCAACAAGUUGUGGGGAAUAAUGUGCAUGAACUCGCCAAAGGUGGGAGCUCACGUGAAGUGUAAGGCUUACCAAAGAAAAUGGUUAGAGCUGAGCAUUGCUUUUAAAGUUGGUCAAAAUUUUAUUAGCAGUUACUAAGUAUAAGUGAAUAUCAAUCCCAAUUAAGUAGUAGAACAAAAAUAACAACUUCACCCGCGAUGCAAUGCAUAUGACAAAUUGAAUUUAGUUCCAUAAUUUAAUCAUCAGAGAGUCCUGAGCUGCUCAUGACCGUGAGCUCGGCUAGUAUACCAGUUUUACACUCUGCAGAGGUGGUACCCUUUACCCACAAGUCAUGUUACCCAUCUGCCAAGAGAUCGCGACUUCC